rnacentral:rRNA from 1 species
GACGAACGCUGGCGGCGUGCCUAAUACAUGCAAGUAGAACGCACAGUUUAUACCGUAGCUUGCUACACCAUAGACUGUGAGUUGCGAACGGGUGAGUAACGCGUAGGUAACCUGCCUGGUAGCGGGGGAUAACUAUUGGAAACGAUAGCUAAUACCGCAUAAUAUUAAUUAUUGCAUGAUAAUUAAUUGAAAGGUGCAAUUGCACCACUACCAGAGGGACCUGCGUUGUAUUAGCUAGUAGGUGAGGUAACGGCUCACCUAGGCGACGAUACAUAGCCGACCUGAGAGGGUGAUCGGCCACACUGGGACUGAGACACGGCCCAGACUCCUACGGGAGGCAGCAGUAGGGAAUCUUCGGCAAUGGACGAAAGUCUGACCGAGCAACGCCGCGUGAGUGAAGAAGGUUUUCGGAUCGUAAAGCUCUGUUGUAAGAGAAGAACGGGUGUGAGAGUGGAAAGUUCACACUGUGACGGUAUCUUACCAGAAAGGGACGGCUAACUACGUG